GGGAUAUGAUGAGUGGUCAUUUGCUAACUAAAUAUGCGAGAUGGGUGUUCCAGCCCAAAGCCUUACGACAAUUUGGGCGAUUUCAUUUUUACCAAUCUGAUCCC